CAGAGUUGCAAAACUCCCACAAACCAUCGCGAAUCGUUUACCACCGUACGGUUGCUCGGUGGCGGUCCGGAAGGCCUCGGCCCCCCGGGGUCCCCGCUCGCGGGAGGCUGCCGCCGGUAGUGGCCGUAUACCAAACUCUUGAUAUAUACCAUGUACUAUCUGAGUACUAUACUUUAAAUAAGUAA
rnacentral:misc_RNA from 1 species